AGGCUGCAUGCAGAUGGAUAGAUGAGCUCUUGUAACCUGAUCCUUAACUCACAACUCAAGGUCAGCCUAAGGUCACUGGCCAUACAAGCAACCCCAUUGAAAGCUUUGUUGCUGGCCUGGGAUGUUUAGUUAGGCAGAGCUGAUGUUGGGACAAAGCACGGCCGUACCCAGGUGUACGGGAGAAAUGCCGUCACCAGAGAGAGGAACUGCUCUCUACCAUAAAGUGGGAGCAGGGUUCAACUUGAGAAACAAUAUUGCGGGUGGCACGGUGGUGCAGCAGUAGAGUUGCGACCUUACGCGCUUGCAGUGCCGGAGACCCGGGUUCGAUCUUGGCUACGGGUGCUGUCUGUAUGGAGUUUGUACGUUCUCCCCGUGACUGCAUGAGUUUUCUCCGUGAUCUUCGGUUUCCUCCCUCACUCCAAAGACGUACAGGCUGCUAAAGAGGCAAAGACUUAAAGUGCUGGAGUAACGGGCCAGACAGCAUCUCUGGAGAAAAAGGAUGGGUGACAUCUCGGGUCGGAAGCCUUCUUCAGACUGAAAGUAGAGGGGAGGGAACUGAAGGAUUCAAAUCUGACGAUGCCCCACAAAAGCAGCAAACAAUAGCCCGCUUUCUGUCGAGCUGCGAUCCACGUGCUGUAAUGUGGGCACCUCAAGGCCAUGUGCUCAGUCCCAUGCUCUACUCUCCCUCUGUCUCACCAUGAAUGUGUAUCCAUCACCAUUUUUAAAUUCACCUAUGAUACCAACAACGUUGGAUGAAAAAUGGGUAACAAUGAGUUAGGGAA